UACGUAGGGGGCAAACGUUGCUCGGAAUCACUGGGCAUAAAGCGCACGUAGGUGGCAUGGUAAGUCUGAUGUGAAAUCCCUCGGCUCAACCGAGGAACUGCGUUGGAUACUGCUUUGCUCGAGGGUCGGAGGGGAGAUUGGAACUCCUGGUGUAGCGGUGAAAUGCGUAGAUAUCAGGAGGAACGCCGGUGGCGAAAGCGAAUCUCUGGACGACAUCUGACACUGAGGUGCGAAAGCUAGGGGAGCAAACGGG
rnacentral:rRNA from 1 species